CAGCGUCGGCGCAUUGUUCUGCCGUCGUUGGUGUCUCCCGCAGUUUCGAACAGCCAAGACUCCACGACUGCAGCCGUUUCAUUGCCAGCUGUAAGGAUGAAGCAGCUUCAUAGCCGGACAUCAGACGCCUUCCAAGUUCCCCUUUUCAGCAACAGAGGCAUAGGAUGCCAUUCUACCUGUGCUGCAUUGUGUGGCUGACCACUCCUAGGAUCUCAGCAGAAUCAUUACACAGG
rnacentral:lncRNA from 1 species